rnacentral:misc_RNA from 1 species
GAAAAGAAAAAGAAGAAAAAAUGUUAUCUGAGCCUAGAUUUAUAUGAAUAUCUAGGACGCAAUUCGAUUAUUGUCAACGUAAAGAAGGAAAUUCGGAAAAUCAUAAAAUUAAUUGUAUUCGAUAUCAGUUUCUCUUUCUUUUCUUUUGUAUUCUUUCAAAAAAAAAAAGUCAUAUACACAAAUAGAUAUAAAAUCAAAUUAUUAUUUUCUUAUUAAGUAGUUCUCUAAAUUUGCCGAUUGGUAACGCUGUUACGCGAGAUAGAAGAAGGUUAAAAUUUUGCGAAUCGACUGAGACAUCUAUAAUUUUAGCAAGAGAGAAAUUAACGCGACUGCUACGUCGCGAGAAUUAACGAUAGUGUGAAUGAGAUUUUUCGAGUGAGAGAGAAACUUUGCUCGAGUUCGAAUUCAACUGAUUGAUUUUUAUCAAUAAAUUGUUCUUGAAGUGUUUCGUUUGUUAAGUUAAGCCGUGAGAAUGACAUAUUUUAUGAAAAAGGCACGUGGUAACGGUCGGACGAAGAGUGUUAAUAGUUGUCGUGGGUAGCAGCCGGCUAAGAAAUGGCAAUCUCUAGUUAUUUGAUCUGGACUCAACGUACAAGUAGAUAUAAUCGAAGUCGGCGAGAUAACGAAGACAGUUGUGUGCAACUCGAUCUGUCAAGAGGGCUAAAAGAAAACGUAAAAGAAGUUUUAACUAAUCUGUGUCAACGACAUAAUGUACCAAGUGUAAAGAAGCUAGCUUAUCUUAAUGCUAUUGUUAAAUUAAUUAGUGAAAAUAAUUUAUCUGAUUAUGGUUAUUCCAUGGAUGAUCUAUUUUGUUGCAUGCGCGUAGGCCUUGUACAUGAAGCAACCCAAGUACGUGCAGCAGCACUACGCGCUGUAAGGUAUAUGCUUAAGAAAGAGCAAGAUGUUAUUGCUAUUAAUAAAUUGCAAUACCCAUAUUUUGUGGCACGUAGUAUGGAUGUUAAUCUACGAAACGAAAUGGAAAGAGUUCAAGCUCUUAGACUUGUUAGAAGAAUUUUAGCUUUAGCUCCUAAACAUUUCAGCCCUGUCUUAGCCAGAUCUCUUAUAAGUUUAACUAAUGGAGGCAUAGAGGAAAGAGAUCGUGCAUUCAGAGUAUUUUUAGCUACUCUUUGCGAGUUAGGAGUCUUGAAUUCCAAUUUGUUAAUAAGUUGUGGAGGAGUUAGCGCUCUCGCGCGAGCAGCUAUGACUGGGCAAAGCCCUUCAACUGUCGAAUCCGUUGUUGGGGUUUUGUUAAAAUUAUUAAAUAAUCCUGAUACAAGAGGGAGCGUUUCCCUUUUAUGUUUCGCAGCACCAUAUUGUGAACUUCAUUCUUCAAGCUCAGAAAGAACAAAAGAGGAACGAGAUCAAAAAUUUGCAGCAAGUAAGAUGGCAUUAUUGAGUAUAUUACGCUCUUAUCCAGGUGUUUUACAUUUUUGUUGUCCUACCAAUAAUUCUGGCCUUAAAGCUAUAGCAGAUAUCUUAUACGUUGAACAGCUUGAAGUUCGUGGAGCUGUUUUGGAAUUACUUUAUGAAUUAUUGGAUUUACCUUUGCCGACAUGGACCGAUGAACCAGAUGUUGCAUUGGCUGCAGUUGAUCCUGGCAGAACACGAGAUUCGUGGAAAUUAUCUGAAGGUUUUGUUGCAGCCGAAGGAAAAUUUAUAUUACCAUCUCUUUCAUCUUGUUGGCCAAACAUAACAGAAAUACAUUUAGCAUUACUAGUGUAUGCUUUAUUAGAAUGUGGACUACACAGAGCACUUGCAGAAACGAUCGUUUCUUCCGAUACUUUUAUUUCUGUACGUGCAGCAGUACUAUUGGGAGCAUUAUUGCAUCUAGCACAUUCUCUGCUACCUUCAGAAGUGUGUGAUUUAACACCACCUUUGCCAAACUUAUUGGAACAUGCAAGUGCUGGUAAACAUCAAGCGCUCGCCGCUGUAACAAUCUUAGGACGGAUGCAUACAAUGAUGCGUCGCCGAUCAACACCUGCGAGUCUUUUUCUUGAUCGAAUGUUACGAGCUGGUACUUGGUUGAGACCAACUUUGCCACGACGCCAACGACCAUCUAGUAGACAUUGGUUACGUAGAGAAUCUCCAACUACACCUUUAUUAAAGGAUGCACAAGUCCUAAGUUCUAAGGAUGCACUGGCUUGGAAUUGGCCUGUAGUAAGAUCAAUCCUUCGCUCCCGCGAAGAUACGAUAAGAAUACUCCAUGAUUCUGAUUAUAGAUUGUUUAUAAAAAGACUCGUUCGUUAUUUCAAACCUUCAUCGAAUGCAUAUAGUAGAGUGGAAUUGGGAACAAACGCUAUUUUAGCACGAGAAGCAACUUUAGCAGGCUGCGAAUUACUAAACUUUUUAUUAGAGCUUCGCGAGCCUGAGAAUAUGAAAUUAUUAAACGAACUGAUCAUAGAUAUUGCAGAACAAAUCUCUUGUAUCCGUACCGCACAGUCUGCACACGAUUGCUUAUUCUCACCUCGUCAUAUGUCUACAACCUGUUGUCAGAAAUAUUUCCUCUUUUUAGGACAACUGAGUCAUUCUGCAAAGGGAACCGUUAUUUUGAAGAGAUUCGAUUUACUAGAGAAAUUACAAGACUUGGCUCUAGCCACCAAUCAUGACUGUUACGUGAAACUUAUAGUUUCAAGUUUAGAUUAUUCAAGAGAAGGAUCUAAUAGAAAAGUUCUGAAUAAGAUUAUCGCUGAUGCAUCUUUAGAGAGCACACGUUUAUAUGCUACACAGUUCCUACGAUUAAUACUCAGAGCAAGAAUGUUAGAUGCAUACCAUUGGGCGUUAACAUUAUUAACAGAAAGAUUAAUGGAUACUAGUAAGGUUGUAGCACUGACUGCAUUAGAGAUAUUGCAUGAAGUGUGCGAAGAAACUGAAUAUUUAGCAAUUUUAUUACAUCAAGGAGAAAAUCAAGGAAAUUGGGAUAAAUGGUUGCAACAUUUAGGAGAUAAAGGGUACUUAUUAAAAAUAAGACUUUACUCUCUGCAUGAGGGUUUCUCGUCUCUACCAUCACCUUCAGAAGAAUUAGAAAAAUGGAUUGGACCAGGAGGUUUUGCAGAGAGAUAUGUAGGAUUAGUAGAAGGUGAAAUACAUGACUCUUUGACACGUCGUCAAAGAAACGAAAAUGGAAGUUACCAUAGAAGAACAACUAACGAAUUGAUAAUGCCUCGUAAUAUAUUUAUUUUACCUCAUUUUAUAGGUCAAAUAGUACGACAUGACUAUGGAAUGCAAUUAUUGCUCCGUCGAAAUGUAAUACAACAUUAUGCACGAAUAAUUCAAAGAUUUAAAAUAGAUUUAGGAAGUAGAGACUCGGAAUCUAAUUCAAGAUGUACUAAAAGUAGCCGUUUAAUCAUGGAUGAUACUUAUACUAUGUCAGAAGAGUCAUGUAUAGAGGAAUUUGUAGAACCAAACCGUCUAGAAACAAUUGUAGAUGCAGAAACAAUAGAAUUAUCUGACUUAUCUACUCCACCAAAAGGAGAGUAUUUAAUAGAAAUACGAAGAAAGGCAAGCUUAAAUGAUUCAAGACGUACUACUCCUGAUAAAAGUUGGAGAAGUGAUCUUGAGAUUCGUGAUGAUCAGUCCAUUAAUUUAGAAAAACAAAUAUUGAAAACAAAAUCUGCAUUGUGGGCAUUGGGACAUAUAGGAACAUCAGCUGCAGGAGUUGAACAAUUGAAUCAUUCAGGAAUUAUAGAAACGAUUGCAUCUAUGGCGGAAACAUGUCCUUAUUAUUCGAUAAGAGCAACGGCCAUGUAUGCUUUAAGUCUUAUUGCUACAACCCGUGCAGGCACGGAUGUACUGAUGACUUUCAAUUGGCCAAGUGUAAGACAUAGAAGAGGAGACCAUUGGACGAUAAUUCGACCUACUAUCCGUUAUCCCUUACCAAGUCCUGUUCUUAUUCAAAGGCAUCAUCGAAGUCUUAGUGAUGGUAAGCCUGAAUUACCUGAACCAGUAGCUCGUCGAACUAGAAAUCGCUCUGAGAGUGCAGCUACGGAUUUAGAAGCAAGAAGAGAUAGAGGAGAAACUCCAAGUCCACUCUCAAGUAUACAAAGAUUAAGUCAACAAGAUGCAGAAGGGUAUGCGCGUCUUCGUAAUUUACAACGUUAUCGUAGGCCAAGUUAUUCUCAAAGUAGUUUAGAGAUGUACAGUUUAGAUGGACGACUUUCAUUGCAGAGCCUUUCAGAAUUCGAUUCAUCCCACAACUGGAUUACGAAUAAUAUACUCACACAUACCCCGCCACCUCUUGAAAAUGACAAUGAUAAUCUAUUUUAUAUGGGUAUUUGCCUUCCUAGGAGACUCACAACUCUUUUUCCGGAUCCACUUCAACCAGUAGUUGCUACUAUAAUUGAUGAUACGAGUAAACCUGAAAUAGGUCCUAAUGAAAUAGAUGAAGAAUCUGGAUCAGAAAGUGAUGCCGACACAGAACAUUGUCGAGUGUGCCUUGUCUGUUACCGUGCAAAAAGUAGCACUAAGGUUUUCAUUGGAGAAGCAGAUAUAAAACUACGGAGGCAAGGAUAAUAAUAUUCCGCAGGAUUUCUAAUACUUGUUAUUUUAAAAAGAAUGAGAAUAUUAGCUAAUUUUCUUAUUGCUUAAGGGAAAUUCUUAGGCAUACACAACGACUUGCAAAUCCUGUCUGGUACAGACAUAGUAGACAAACACUUCUUAGAUUAAGGCAAAA